rnacentral:rRNA from 1 species
AGCGUAGGCGGGAUCGUAUGUCCGCCGUGAAAUCCACCGGCUCAACCGGUGAACUGCGGUAGAAACUGCGAUUCUUGAGUUCGGUAGAGGAAUGCGGAAUUCCUGGUGUAGCGGUGGAAUGCGUAGAUAUCAGGAAGAACACCGGUAGCGAAGGCGGCAUUCUGGGCCGUAUCUGACGCUGAGGCUCGAAAGCCGGGGGAGCGAACAGGAUUAGAUACCCUGGUAGUCC